GGGGGUUUGCCCUGCCGGACUUAAGACUCUACUAUGAAUCGGCGGCUUUCUGCUGGUUGAAACAUUGGCUACUUCUUGAGAAUACAGACAUUUUGGAUCUAGAAGGGUUUGACAAUAGAUUUGGCUGGCAUGCAUAUAUAUGGUAUGAUAAGGUAAAACUGCAUAAAGGUUUCAAAAACCAUAUUGUUAGGAAAGCAUUAUAUAAUGUUUGGAUGCGGUAUAAAGAUUUAUUGGAAAGUAAAACUCCCAGGUGGUUGUCACCAAUGGAAGCUAAAGAGGUGAAAAAACUUAAUAUGGAGUCUAAAUGGCCAAAAUAUUGUGAAAUUUUAGAACAAGAUGGGGAAAAAGUUAAAUUACAGAGUUAUGAGAAAUUAAAGUCCAAAGUGCGAGAUUGGUUGCACUACCUUCAGAUAAACGAGACAUUUAAACAGGACAGGAAAAUAGGUUUCCAGAUGGAGAGGUCAAAAUUAGAAACAGAACUGUUAGAACCCAAUACUAAGAAUCUGUCGAGAAUGUAUAAUCUGCUGUUGAAAUGGAACACACAGGAUGAAACGGUGAAAUCAGCUAUGAUAAAAUGGGCACAAGAUAUUGGUCAUAACAUUAUGUUUGCUGACUGGGAACAGCUGUGGACCACCGGUACUAAAUUUACGGCAUGUAAUGCCUUAAGAGAAAACAUUAUGAAAAUGAUGUAUAGGUGGUACAUGACCCCAGUCAAGCUUGCAAAAAUUUAUCAUCUGCCCAAUAACAAAUGUUGGAAAUGUAAUGAGACUGAAGGUACUUUUUAUCACCUUUGGUGGACCUGCCCGAGGAUAAAAGCUUUUUGGGAAAUGAUCUAUAAUGAAAUUAAGAAGGUUCUUAAAUGGACCUUCCCUAAAAAACCUGAGGCUUUUCUCCUGGGCAUUGUCGGCCAAUUGGUGAGAAGGAAGGACAGGACGUUUUUUAUGUAUGCGACCACAGCAGCAAGGAUUCUUCUAGCAAAGUAUUGGAAGACACAACAACUACCCACACUGGAAGAAUGGCAGACGAAGGUGAUCGACUACAUGGGACUGGCGGAGUUGACUGGCAGAAUCCGUGACCAGGGGAAAGAGACAGUGGAAGAAGAUUGGAAGAAAUUCAAAGUUUAUCUUAGAACUUGUUGUAAAAUUCAGGAAUGUUAAAAUGUCAAGGGGUUGGGAAACAGAGAAUUGCAGCUGUAAUUAACAAUAUUAGAAGAACUUAAAAGAAAUUGAAUUGAAUAAUUAGUCGACUGAGGAGUUGCUGAAGAAAUAUAAAACAAGGAUGCAGAAAAGGGGAGGUAUGGGGAAGUCCGGAAAGUAAGGUUUAUGAAAAAAUGGUUAUGAAAUUAUACAUGUUUAUAUGUUUGUAUGUCGGUGUAUUGUGUAUUGUUUGUUUUUUUUUUUUUAUUUUGUGUUUGGAAAAUUAAUAAAAAUUUAUUUAAAAAAAAAAA